UAUUUGGGGCCUAUGCGUUUGGCAGUUGCA
rnacentral:piRNA from 1 species